rnacentral:rRNA from 1 species
UACGGAGGGAGCGAACGUUGUUCGGAUUCACUGGGCGUAAAGGGCGUGUAGGCGGCUUGGUAAGUCAGGGGUGAAAUCCCGCGGCUCAACCGCGGAGUUGCCUUUGAAACUGCCGAGCUCGAGUACCGGAGAGGAGGGUGGAAUUCCUGGUGUAGCGGUGAAAUGCGUAGAUAUCAGGAGGAACACCGGUGGCGAAGGCGGCCCUCUGGACGGAUACUGACGCUGAGACGCGAAAGCGUGGGGAGCAAACAGGAUUAGAUACCCUGGUAGUCCACGCCUUAAACGAUGGAUACUAAGUGUCGGCGGGUUACCGCCGGUGCUGCAGCUAACGCAUUAAGUAUCCCGCCUGGGAAGUACGGCCGCAAGGUUGAAACUUAAAGGAAUUGACGG